CAAUAACUCCUACAAUUUAACCCAUGUUAAAAAUAAUUCUACGCUCCUAUUAUAAAUGUGUUUUAAUUAUAACUUAAGAAACCUAGACUUAGUGUCCUGAGGAUGACUUAGUAUAAGUCGAAACGUCGACAUUUAGGUUAUUUGGUGAUGAAUAAUUAGCCUUAGGAAUUGAAGGUGUAAAAAUAAGUUGUUAUACCGUUGAUUGAAUAUUUGGGAAGAUUGGACGCAACCUUAUGGGCUAAAACGUGACCGCAAAUAUGCGUGAAAAAUAGAUGGCGAUUCUCUCCAGUAUGCGCGAAAAUAAUUUCGUCCGUCGCUUCUCAUUAGUAAUCGGCCGAUCAUCCGAGUCGUGUGGGAGAGUUUUUGCACAGGUUCGUGUUUGCCGUAUUGCAAUUUGGUAGUUGUUAAAAAUUUUUCUUGGAUAUCAUAAUCACAAAUAGAUAGAUAUAUGUAAAUGUGUUUAGUUUUUGAGACGAUGGCUUCUUUAGGCAAAAUUAAUCAGUGUGCAUAUAUUAAUUAAGACUUUGAUUUAUAACAACCUAAUAUGGGAAUCUCAAAAUCUUAUUAGAAAAUCUUUAAAAAAAUCUAAUUAUAAACCUCACAGAAAAUUAUCUAUUUUAUCUACAAAAAUCAAUCCGAACUCUUAAAAAUACUGUCUCUUCAUGUCUAUGAGAGCCAUUUUCUCUUUUUCUUUUUUUUCUUUAAGAAAAUUUUAAAUCAAUAUAUUAUGUUUAUGGUCUUUAGUGUUUUAAGUAUUUUCAAUAAUUGUUUUCAUGAUGAAAUUCAUUCAUGAAAAAGAUAAAAAUAAAGCCUAAAAAGCCUUUAAAGUUAUUGAGAAACUGGUUAUAGUACGAAUGGUAGCUUUCCUAAUUAAAAAAAAUAACAUAUUAAAUGAAUGUCGAGUAAUGUUUUCAUUCCUGGAGAGAUUAUAUUUGAGCUUGAAGAAGGUCACUUUGCUGCAGCGGUAUUCUGCGACUUCUCUAAACACUUUGACUGUGUCAACCAUGGAAUAUUGCUCGGUAAGCUUUCUAGAUAUGGGUUUAGGUUGCUCUAGAAUGGUUAAAAUUUUGUUUUGUUAGACAGAAAAAAGUUUGUUUGGCCAAAUGGCAGUUUGUCUGAACUUUGUGUAGUAAGCAGGGUUCGUUUCUUGGUCCUAUUUUAUUUCUAUUGUAUAUAAAUGACCUGGGGUCGCUCCAGAUAAGAGCAUUCUUCACUAUUUUUGCAGAUGACACCACUAUCUUAUGGACAAUAAUAAAAGCACAUUAACCUAGAACAAUUUCUAAAGAUUUAUUAAUGAUUAAACAGUGGUUUGAUGCUAAUUUGAUGUCUUUAAACAUAGAUAAGACUAAAUUGUUAAGUUUUUAUGCUCAGAGCAGUUCAUGAUUCACAACAAAGAAUUGGAAGUGAAUAAUUUUAACAGAUUUCUUGGAAUUGUUAUCGAUCAUAAACCUAAGUUUUAUGGAGAUAUGUCAGGAGGCAAAAACUGGCUAGACGAUGUUAUGCUGUUAGAAUGGUUUUAAAUCAACUGAGAUUGAUAUUUUUUUUGUCGAAAGUUGGAACUUACUUUCAUAUAAAAAUACCUACAGUAUGGAAUAACAUUUUGGAGUUGCAUUAGUAAACGGCUUUUUGACUCGAUGUUUGUUUUUAAAAAACAAGCCAUUAAAUAUAUGUGUCAUAAAUCUCCACAGGACAUGCAGACCCCUAUUUAAAGAUACUUUCCUUGUGUUGCUUGUUUAUUGUUGAGUCUGCUUGACUAAUAUACAAAAAAUAUAAAUUGUAUCUUCAAAAUAAUGGCUCCUUAAAACAUUAUAAUAUCAGAAAAAAAUACAAUAUUCCAAUGCCCAUCCCGAAAAGUGAACUAAGAAUUCUCUUAUUUACUUGAGCAUAAAAAUUUUUAAUCAUUUUCCAAAUGUCAUAAAAGUCUCCUCGCUUUAAAAAGUCCUUAACGAAACUUCUUAAAAGCAAAUAUUUUUAUAGCAUUAGAAUUUUUUGAAGAUAGUUAGGAAUAGGCCAAUAGUAUAUAAUUAGUUUUUAGUAAAGAUGUAAAGGAUAAAAUUUUAAGUCGUCUUGCUUUGAAAUUGAAAAUACAUUUUGUGUUUAUACUAGUAUGUUGAACCCACUAUUGUGUAUUGUUUUUAAAUUAUGUGUUAGUAAUAUGUCGAUUAAUGUGCCUAUUUUAUAUCAUAAAAGUACCAUGUCAACAAGUAGGUACCAUGUAUUUAUGAAUAAAGUAUGUUUUGAAUUUUUUGAAAUUCGAAAUUGUAUUUAAAAGAGAGAGAGGUAUAUAAUAUUUAAUAGGGAUGAUUCCAACUACUAGCUAGAAAUUACCUCGUUGAUAAAGUAAUUAAAAGGGUUAUUCAAAACUGCAAGUGGCCAACAUGGCAUCGACAAGAAGAAACAAAGUUGAUUAUGACUCUCUAAAGAAGGAACGUCGUAUUUAAAAGUUAAAGAUGUUAACUUGUAAAUGAGAGAAAGUGUUUACAACAAUGUAUAAAUGAUUUUAUUUUAUAUUUUCAAAUAACGCCAGAAAAAAAUAAAAAAACCAUUUUGCCAAAUUUCACCUUUUUCCUGAAUAUUAGGAAGUAUUUGGCAUUUUUCCAAUUUUUAGAUUGCAUUUAUUCAAUCAUUGCAUUUAUAUUGCGCAACUUUCGCCUAAUUAAACCAUUUACUGCUCAUCCUUAUUUUGGACAUCCUGUAUAAUCGCGAUGAGACCCUUCAUACUGUUAAACAAAAUAUUUGUUUUUUUUCUUAUUAACUUUUUCUAGUUUUAAGAAUUAGUAAUUAAGUGUUUGCCUGUAUUGCAAAUUAAAAUGUGGCCUAUUUUCUAUAUUUUAUAGUGUUGUUACACCCUUAUUCAAAACCUUUUAAAUUUUGCGAUUUUAUUUUUAUAUUAAUUUCAGUUAAAGGUAUCUAUUUUUCAAUAUUUUUGUCCAAAAAAAGUGUACUUCACAGAUCUCACUACCCUACACAGUUUUUGAGAUAUUGGCUGGUUUCACAAACCCGUAUUGUCAAAAAUCACAUUACGGGCUACUUUUUGCAAUAAAUUAUUCACUCUAAAAAACUAUAGUAUCGUAUAUAGAUAUUAAAUCUUUAAUUAUUUAAUUUACUCUUUAUAUUUACGUGAAACCUACCUAUAUCAUCAACUUUAUUUAAUAUUUUUGUUAAUUUUCUAAUUAAUAAAUAAAAGCUUAUUGAAUUUUU